CACCUGAAAUUGCGAUCUCGGGCGACCACCAGAAUG
rnacentral:sRNA from 1 species